rnacentral:ncRNA from 3 species
GGGAGCCUGAGAAACGGCUACCA